rnacentral:rRNA from 1 species
AGUGAACGCUGGCGGUAGGCCUAACACAUGCAAGUCGAACGGCAGCACAGUAAGAGCUUGCUCUUACGGGUGGCGAGUGGCGGACGGGUGAGGAAUACAUCGGAAUCUACUUUUUCGUGGGGGAUAACGUAGGGAAACUUACGCUAAUACCGCAUACGACCUACGGGUGAAAGCAGGGGAUCUUCGGACCUUGUGCGAUUGAAUGAGCCGAUGUCGGAUUAGCUAGUGGGCGGGGUAAAGGCCCACCAAGGCGACGAUCCGUAGCUGGUCUGAGAGGAUGAUCAGCCACACAGGAACUGAGACACGGUCCAGACUCCUACGGGAGGCAGCAGUGGGGAAUAUUGGGCAAUGGGCGCGAGCCUGAUCCGGCCAUACCGCGUGGGUGAAGAGGGCCUUCGGGUUGUGAAGCCCUUUUGUUGGGAAAGAGAAGCAGCAGGUUGAUACCCCGCUGUUCUGACGGUACCCAAAGAAUAAGCACCGGCUAACUUCGG